UUUUCCUCCGGAAGUGUGGCACCCAGAGGCGCUAUGUUUCCAGUGUCCUCUGGGUGUUUCCAAGAGCAACAAGAAACGAAUAAAUCUCUGUUGAAGAGAUACCAUUUGAUAUUUUAGAGAUGCCUGCAUGCAAACUCUUAAAACAUUUGACCAUAGGAGUUUUAGCCAAUUCAGAGGCCUUGCUCCCUACAAUUUGGAACAUUCCUUUGGAUUUGACCAAGUCAGGAAGAGAUGGGAGAAAAGUGAAACAACAACAAUAAAACCCCAAGCAUAAACAAACAAAGAGUUAAGCAAAACAACAAAUGCACAAUUCAUAUGAUUACUGAGUGUUCUAAUGGUAAGGAGAAAUUAAAAGCAGA
rnacentral:lncRNA from 10 species